GACGAACGCUGGCGGCGUGCUUAACACAUGCAAGUCGAACGGAAAGGCCCUGCUUUUGUGGGGUGCUCGAUUGGCGAACGGGUGAGUAACACGUGAGUAACCUGCCCUUGACUUUGGGAUAACUUCAGGAAACUGGGGCUAAUACCGGAUAGGAUCUCCUGCUGCAUGGUGGUGGUUGGAAAGUUUCGGCGGUUGGGGAUGGACUCGCGGCUUAUCAGCUUGUUGGUGGGGUAGUGGCUUACCAAGGCUUUGACGGGUAGCCGGCCUGAGAGGGUGACCGGCCACAUUGGGACUGAGAUACGGCCCAGAAUCCUACGGGAGGCAGCAGUGGGGAAUAUUGCACAAUGGGCGGAAGCCUGAUGCAGCAACGCCGCGUGCGGGAUGACGGCCUUCGGGUUGUAAACCGAUUUCGCCUGUGACGAAGCGUGAGUGACGGUAAUGGGUAAAGAAGCACCGGCUAACUACGUG
rnacentral:rRNA from 1 species